rnacentral:rRNA from 1 species
CAUUGCUCUUAUGAAGUUAGCGGCGGACGGGUGAGUAACACGUGGGUAACCUGCCCAUAAGACUGGGAUAACUCCGGGAAACCGGGGCUAAUACCGGAUAACAUUUUGAACCGCAUGGUUCGAAAUUGAAAGGCGGCUUCGGCUGUCACUUAUGGAUGGACCCGCGUCGCAUUAGCUAGUUGGUGAGGUAACGGCUCACCAAGGCAACGAUGCGUAGCCGACCUGAGAGGGUGAUCGGCCACACUGGGACUGAGACACGGCCCAGACUCCUACGGGAGGCAGCAGUAGGGAAUCUUCCGCAAUGGACGAAAGUCUGACGGAGCAACGCCGCGUGAGUGAUGAAGGCUUUCGGGUCGUAAAACUCUGUUGUUAGGGAAGAACAAGUGCUAGUUGAAUAAGCUGGCACCUUGACGGUACCUAACCAGAAAGCCACGGCUAACUACGUGCCAGCAGCCGCGGUAAUACGUAGGUGGCAAGCGUUAUCCGGAAUUAUUGGGCGUAAAGCGCGCGCAGGUGGUUUCUUAAGUCUGAUGUGAAAGCCCACGGCUCAACCGUGGAGGGUCAUUGGAAACUGGGAGACUUGAGUGCAGAAGAGGAAAGUGGAAUUCCAUGUGUAGC